UACAGAGGUCCCAAGCGUUGUUCGGAUUCAUUGGGCGUAAAGGGUGCGUAGGUGGCGCUGUAAGUGGGGUGUGAAAUCCCGGGGCUUAACCCCGGGACUGCAUUCCAUACUGCAGUGCUUGAGGACUGGAGAGGAGACUGGAAUUUACGGUGUAGCAGUGAAAUGCGUAGAGAUCGUAAGGAAGACCAGUGGCGAAGGCGGGUCUCUGGACAGUUCCUGACACUGAGGCACGAAGGCCAGGGGAGCAAACGGG
rnacentral:rRNA from 1 species